ACCCUUCCAUUCCCUUUCCCUUCAUGUCUGAACACUGGUCUUGGUGUUUGUAGAAAGGAAAAAAGUAAUACUGCAGCUUUCUUCACAGGUCUCAUAGUCUGCCAUGAAGCAAAUGGGCAAGUUUUAAACAAGG